rnacentral:rRNA from 1 species
AUCGAACGCUGGCGGCAGGCCUAACACAUGCAAGUCGAACGGUAACAGCAAGCCGCUUGCUGCUUUGCUGACGAGCGGCGGACGGGCGAGUAAUGUCUGGGAAACUGCCUGAUGGAGGGGGUUAACUACUGGAAACGGUAGCUAAUACCGCAUAACGUCGCAAGACCAAUGAGGGGGACCUUAGGGCCUCUUGUCAUCGGAUGAGCCCAGAUGUGAUUAGCUAGCAGGUGGGGUAACGGCUCACCUAGGCGGCGAUCGCUAACUGGUCUGAGAGGAUGACCAGCCACACUGGAACUGAGACACGGUCCAGACUCCUACAGGGAGCAGCAGUGGAGAAUAUUGCACGAUGGGCGCAAGCCUGAUGCAGCCAUGCCGCGUGUAUGAAGAAGGCCUUCGGGUUGGAGAGUACUUUCGGCGGGGGGGAAGGAAGUAAAGUUAAUACCUGUGCUCAUUGACGUUACCCGCAGAAGAAGCACCGGCUAACUCCGUG